rnacentral:lncRNA from 1 species
AGGCUAUCUGGUGGGGAGUUCGUCCCUGCACCCUUUGUUACUUGCGUGAUAUGUUUAUACAUUGUGGAAAUGGCGACUUGGCGAAAGAUGGAAUCAAUUUCCAAGUUUUGCCGUUGUUUCUUAUUUAUUUUAAACAAGCGUCUGUGGUUUCUGGUAUAUCAUAUGAUAUGUUUAUUUGAUAGAACCUAUCUUUGUUGAGUGGCUGCUUUAGUAGCUGUAUGUCAACAAACUAAUAUGUAGCUGUUUGUGGGGUUUAGACGGCACCUUUCCGCCUUCCGAGUGUUGUAUAUGACCCUUGUCAUUUUACUUUGGAGCAGUAUAAAAGGAGCAUGCUUUUAUGGCCUUUCCUUGUUGCUAAUUUACUGGCUUGUUCUGUAUUGCCUUGCCAUCUUAUUUUUGAUCUUCUGGUAUCUUUUCUAGUUGGUAAGAGAUGUUUUUACUUAGGGGUGUGCUAUCCACACUCAUUUUUACUUCUCACACAUCUCUUGUUAAUUUCUGUCCAAUGAUCUUCUUCAAUUCAUCCGAUCUGACGGUCGAAAACCAAGAAAACCAAGAAAACCAAAAAAGUGUGGGAGAAGUGAAAAGGGGUGUGUGGAUAUCACACCUUUUUUACUUAUUUACUUAUGGUUGCGGCUACACUUGGGCCCGCACGCUCCCUCGAGUAAAAUGUUGACUGCUUCGACGAAUCAUUUGGGUGUGGUUAUAAGAUGAUGCUCUCCCCGUUUUCCAUUGUUGAGUUGUGAUUAUGUGCUUAUUUUCGGUUUUCAUGUACAUGCCUAUCUGUUCGAGGGAAAUAACUUCCCUGCUGUAGGUGUAAAAUACAACUUUGGUCGAUGUUGGCCUAGACCUAGUGGCACAUGUGGCAGCCGUAUUGGGUGGUUGGUCUGACACAUGUCACCACAUACAAGAUAUUUAACGAAGUUGAAAGAAACAAGGAAAUAAAGUGAUGGCUUUUAAGUUGUAAGAGCAAAGAAAUCGUCCCAUCUAUUGUGUCUUGUACGUCCUAUUUUGUGGGACGGGAAUAUACAUGACGUGCUGGAGUCAAUUCCAAUCUUAACUAGUUCUAGGGACACCAACACGAACGAUUUUGACCCACCUUCAGUGAGACAGCUAUUCUCACAGCCCAACGCCAUCAAAUGCACUUAUUGAUCGUGCAAAGCACUUCCGUGUGAAUAGCCAAACGAAAGAAUGCUUCUUUGUCAAAACACUAUUGAUAAGUACCUCCUAAAAAAUGCCAAGGAAUAAAAGUGCUUUUUGAAAAGCAAUCUGAAAUAAGCUCUCGGUCUAUAUUUGAAGCAAGGAAAGAGGAAUGAACAGUUGGCAGGAUUUGAGGCAAAGACAGAGAGAGGAAUGAACAGUUGGUUAACUGUUAACUCAACUGCACGUAUUAACUCACCAUACGGCGUCGUUUCACUGAAGGAAAGAUAAACCCAUAACCAGAAAACAAACCGCAACUUAUCCGUCCAUCUCUUUCUCUACUUCAGCAGCUCAAACAAAUUUUCAGCUCAAUUUAAAAGCUGCUUUUAGCCUUUCUUCUCCGCCAUGGCCUGAAAGCACCCCAUCCGUUUGUUGAAUUGCUUCAAUGGCGUUCUCCUUCUCUCUCACAUGCUAUCCAUGGUCUCCCACCCACACCAUACCCCAAACCCUGCCACCGCCGCCCUCCUCCGCUCAAAAACUCUUCACUUCUCUCUCCUUCCCGCUCUCUCACCGCCACGACCGGCUCCUCAUCCAUUCUUCCCUCUCCUAUUCAACCCCUACCUCCACCCACCACCACCACCACCUUCCUCCGGACUUCACUCCGCAGCAGCUCCUCGAUACCCUCCGCCGCCAGAACGACGAGUCCUCGGCGCUCCGCCUCUUCGACUGGGCCUCCAAGCAGCCCAAUUUCACCCCCGACUCCACUGUGUACGAGGAGGUCCUCCGCAAGCUCGGAAAGGUGGGGUCUUUCGAGUCGAUGAGGAGCAUCCUUAACGAGAUGAAGCACGUCGGCUGCCCUAUUAGCUCAGGUACUUUCUUGAUUUUUGUUCAGAGCUACGCAGCCUUUGAUUUGUAUGAUGAAAUUCUUGGGGUUGUGGAAAUGAUGGAAGGCGAAUUCGGGUGCAAACCCAACACUCAUUUCUACAAUUUCUUGUUGAAUGUUGUUGUUGAGGGGAACAAACUUAAGCUAGUCGAAACUGCGAAUUCGGGCAUGCUUGGUAGAGGAAUUAAGCCGGAUGUUUCCACAUUUAACAUUUUGAUAAA